rnacentral:snRNA from 1 species
AGCUUUGCACAGUGGCAGUAUCAUAGCCAAUGAGGUUUAUCCGAGGCGCGAUUAUUGCUAAUUGGAAAUUGACCAACUAUAGUUUUUACCCAUUUUUCUAUUGGCUUUAUUUUUUUCUUUUUGAAUUCUAA